UUUUUUUUCUUCAGGAUACUGCGGUUUUUGGGUUUUGUUGUUAGUUUUUUGUUGUUAGUUUUUUGUUGUUGUUGUUGUUAGCACCGUACCUGUCUCUCCACUUCCUCACUUUAAUCUUCAGAUUCAGAGCUUUCUUUUCCUUUCUUAAGCCACAGCUCUUCCCUGGCACAAUUCUGUGGGCCAGCAGUAGAGAAGGUUUCAGCUGUUGAAAAUCUACAAAUCAGAAUGAUUACCACCAAGGACAGAGACAAAAACAGUAAAGACAGAAAAGACAGAUCAACAAAAAUCAACAAGAAAUUGAGGUGUUCAGGAGCUUGGACAGCCCAGCACAUUCGGACAUUGUCAGGCUGCAGUGAUGACAGUAGUCUGAUGGUCUGGUAAUUUUGUUGGGUCAGACUAGUGUUCAAAAACGGUCUGCAUUAAUGUUCACUGGAGCAAAGGACUAUGAAUUAAGGUCUUAAGUAAAUAAGUAAAAAGACUGAUAAGGAACAUGUAAAGAAAAUCAGGCAAGGCAGAAAGAAAUUUAAUCUUCUUGGUCCUAGAGUCUUAUUAUUGACUGCAGUUUUGUGUGGUGAGGAGUACUGUACUUUUGUCCCACUUAAUUUUGAAGCUCAGUUUAAUGUUUUGAUGCUUCUCAGCAGUUUUCUGAGGUUUUCAAUGUGCUAUCCACAGUAACACUCUGGUUUAUAUUUUGAGUAAUUACCGUUGAUCUAGGAAUUAGUGAUGCAUGUGAAUAGAUAACAGGUAUAUUUUAGACAAGGACACGGGGAGGAAGAAGUGUUUGUGUAAAGGAAAGAAUUAGGCAACGUGUAAGCAGUAUGAGGCCUUGGAUGUGUAAGAAAUGGUGCUCAAAGUUGAUGCAAAGGCCAAAUGAAACUAAGCUGGUGUAAAUGUGCAGACUGGAUGUAAAUUGGCAGACUGGAUGAUUGCUGAAUGAAAUGAGAGACUUGAAAAACGAACAAUGCAACGAGGUAGAAGAGAUUUAAGAAGAGAGUUAGCUAUGUUAAUAAUAAAAAUGCUACUUUAAGUCGUCAGAAUUAUGGGUGUCUGACAUUCCUACAGGGAUUCCUUCAGAACCAGAAACUGGACAGCUGGAUUCUUUUGCUAGGCAAAUGUCAUUUAAGACGUUAUUAAGAAGCCUUGUGAGCAACUUUCGACUUGAAGCUUGGGUGUCCAGAAAAAAGCUGGAGGCUCAUGUAAGAAGGUAGGACAGAAACCUGAGGAUGCCUGAGAAUGGGAAGUACUACCACCGUGCCUCUUUUUACCUUUUUGAAAGUACUACUACAGACACUGGAAUUUAGGAAGCGAGACACGCAGUCUGUGGCAGGACAUUACUGAAAACAUAAAUUUACCACAAGAAGUGGUGAAUCUUUAUUUCUUCUUCCUGUCCUCUUAGUUACACAGUGGGAACCGGGAUCCCAUAACAGAGGAACUGACCCUGAGAAAGGCCAGACUGUGACAGAGGAGAAAUAAUGCGUGGAGACAGGAGAAAGGUGUAGGGGUUUGCUGGCUGCAUCAGUCAGAAAUGUGGUGUGCAUUUGAUGGAAACGAGGAGAAAGAGAGGGAUAAACUGAUUGUGAGAGCUGAGUCUGAAGCCUGAGACAUAGUUGAAAAAGAAGAAGUUGCCAACAAGGUGCAAUUAAAGGCACUUCCAGUGAGUGCACAUUUCUACACAGCAGCAGAGAAAACCCAAAGCCAUUGCAGUCUUUCUGGAGUCUGAACUUUCCCUGUCUUUUGUGUACAGAGAGCACAGAUCUGGGCUUUGCCUGUGGUUUUCAGUGUGGGUGAUUGCAGACCCAUUUUAUGUUAAUUAUCAUAAUGUCAUCAGAUAUUAUUUGACAAAGGCACAGUCUGUGAUCUGCUCUGUUUGAAGUGGUUUUACUCAGCCUUAAAGUCCUUGCUGACAGCAGAUUCCAUGCUAAUAACUUGUUCAAUAAGAAGUGCAGGAGUGCAGAGCUGGGUUUUAACUACCAAGGUGCAGACAGAAGAUUUUUUUUUCCAGGAACUUCAUUUCCAGUGAUGACAUAAAUACCAGUGUGCUGGAACCUCAGCUGAUAUAAACUCAUAACCUGGAUUGAGUCUGUUGACUUCUCACAGAGCUGCCACGAUUUUGUCCACAAGAGAAUUCUCCCUGCUGUGUCACCUUCUGUGUCAGCUGAGGACCCUAAGUCUUGGGACCAUACACAUAGCACAACAGGCUGCACAUAUGUAAGAAAAUCCAGUGAUAUCUGGAGCUGAGAAUGGUUCUGGAAAAGUGUUGUGGAAAGUGUCUGUGCAACUGAGAGAUGUGUUUUACUCGCAGAGUAAGUGCACACCCUAGUAAUGAAAUAAAAUGAUCUGGUCUGGGAAUUUGGCAGGUAAGUGGAAUUAAGGCUGGAUUACAUUAUGUAACGGUCUUGCCCGAUGUAUAGGGCAUUGAAAACACUUGAAUUCUUCCAGAAAUAGCAUUGUGCGUCACACUUGUAAGUGAAUUUCCUGCCUUGCGAUGUUCUUAGAGACGAGAACUUGAUACAUUAACAAUGAAGGAAAAAAAAAAUCAUAAGUUUUAUUUGCAUCCUUUGUAACAAAAUACACUAAUUUUGCAUAUGGAGGUACGUGAUAGAGAAAGCAAAAGUAUUGGAUAGCCUCACUUCUUGUGUGGGCAGAUGCAAAACUUCUCCUACAUCUACCUUGCAAACGCACUUUACUGUGACUGGCUGUUCCUCCUACUGUUUCACUUCAGAACUUUAAUAGAGUUCAUCCAGUCUACCUGGCAUAUGACUGACAGGCCUGCCCAAAAUAUGAUUGAAUGCUUGCAAUCGCAGGCUCUGUAAUUUCAGCUCUUGCUUUCAGCAUGCCGUGAAGGACGGGGCGCAGUGGACAUUUCCUAGCCCGUCACAUGGCAAGUCCCUUAGCAGAAUGGCACAAUGUGGUAGGCUGGCUCUGGAGAUACCAUUUAUAAACUUUGCAGCACUAAAGUGACACUGAUAUGCUUAUAAAGCCGCUUCCUGGUUGUUCUGUGGUUGAGUGUUGUUUAUUCCUGGAAACACCCACACACCUGAAAGUCCUGAUGAGAACACGGUUUCUUUCACCUACCUCCUGCUGGAGGGUAGGUAAGCCUGAGGUGAAGCCCACAUUGCCAGCGUCCCUCUCCCUUCAGGGAAGCUUGCAUUUAAUAGCAAGACGGAAACAGGAGGACCUGACUUUGUGUUCAGAGCUGUUGUGCGCCAUUUAUACACGUGUAGGUAAACAAAAUUAUACCCAUGUUUCAAAGUAUUCCUGUGGGGGUGUUGUGUGGGAGGCUAAAUGCACUAAACACUUCCCUGCGGCCUAGUCUGAAAUUCUGCUCCCCGUGCCUCCUUGGAUUCCUGCCUCAAGCCUUCUGCAGGCCAUGCCCAGUGCCGUGCAGUUGCUGAGAGUGCAAAGCUCCCCGAGCUGGCUUGGAGCUAGCUUCAGAAAUGGCAGUGGGACGCUCAGAACAGCACAGCACCUAGCCGGGGCACAGCAGCCUGUUUGUGCACCUAACUGCUGCCCUGUGGGGAUGAAUGUUUCUACCCAGUACGAUGCGAUGGCAUGUCGGCUUACGGGAGCUAAUUCUGGUGUCGCUAACAUAUGCGUAAGGCACAGUUUCUGCUGGUAUGAAAUGGUGUGGCUCUUUUGAAAUCAGCCUUAACAUCACUAACAUGCGUGAUGUUGGCCUGCUCUGAGCUCCAGCGUCGGCCACAAAACUCAGGAGUUUCACCCUGUGAUACGCCGUGUUUAUGGGCCAGCCUGCCUCCCAGCAAGGCUUCCCUUGAACCAUGCUCCAGAUUGUGCAAAAAAGACUGGGCUUACUUGGAGAAGUGCGCUGAGGGCGUAUGAUGAAAAGUGGGGAGGAAGUGACUCAGAGCACCGGAUGAGCUGAGACAGAUGUUUGGUGAGAGGGAAGGAGUGGGAACUUGCAGAUGAGCCCUAGCUCCCCUCCGUGCUGGAGUUCCAAAGUGUUGGAGUCAGCCCUUCUUUGCUUCGGUCGGGAGGAAAAUCUUGCAAGACGUUGCACUGAAAUAAGUAAUUAAGGCUCUGCUUUCUCAAUAGGAAGACGUUUCACUUCUCUGAUUCCUUAAAGUGCUGAAAUCCUUGGUUUGAUGGAAGGAACAGGAUAUGGAGACAUUUCCACGGUGUUUUCGUAUUUCAGCAAUAGCUGGUGAAAAAAACGUAAGAGGCGAUUUCUGGAUUUCUCACAGAAAGAAAUGUGACUCUUCCUCAACUGUCCUCCACAAUUUCUGCUUCCCUUCCUACAUCUUGAUGCCUCAUUUGAACACCUGGGAUUCUGACCUGUUCUCUGAUGUAAUCUGGUGUCUGGCCAAGACCAUGGCAAAGUUAGAAAGAAACAGCCUGGGCACAGAGCCCUGGACCUGUACAUUUUCAGCAGAGUAACUGCUCCCUCUUCACUUCUGUGCUGUGACUCCCCACGCUUCUGGUGGACCAGAUCCUUGAAGCUGGAGAGCUUCCACCCCCUGCCUUUUUAAGGAGCUGGGCUUCCUGUGCCUUCUUGGUUCUGCCUUUCCUCACAGAGCUGACCUGCGGCUGAUAACCACCACAGCAGAUGGGGUGCUGCAUUACAAAUAGCCCCAGACACAGCUCUGCAGAUGGAAUGUGCCUUGGCCUUUACUGCUUCCUCAUUGUCCUAGGAAACAAGACAUCAAUACUGGAUCUCAGGAAUAGAAGGCUUUUUAUUUGAGAUCUCACCUUCAUACUUCCUGCACUUCACUGCCCCCGCCUUCCAUAGUUUCAUUUGAGUAAGACAAGAUCAUCCAGAAGUCUGGCUCCAACCUCAGAAAGGCAAUUUGCUGCCUGGCAAUCCUUGUUCAGAUCCAUCAACCAGCCAGAUAAAACUACCCAUUCCCGUUGUGUUUCUGCUGCUGGAAGAAGUAUGGCAGCAGCUCUGUAACACCACAUGAAUGGCCUCUAAGACCAGCUGUGCAAACUGAACUAGCUUGCUUGUGAAAGCCUGAGGUGACUGCACAUGACAUGGAGUACCAGAAGCCCUUCUAAACUUCCCGUGGACUGGCCAGAGGGGUUUGUGUACUGGUCUUGCACAUACCUGUUAUCACAGAAUAUGUAGAGGUGAAAAAGAGCAAAAAGGAAAAUGAGGCUCAGCAGACAACCAAGGAUGAUGACGUGGUGAAGAAACCAUGUGACGCUGUCUGAAGAGAAACAGUUCUUUUAGGUACAUUUCACAGAUCAUUUACCGUGUGCCCCUUUCAGGAUCAUACUUUCUAGACAACACUCUUCUGUGUGCGUCUGAAUAAUCCUGUCUUCUCACAGCCCUAUCUGUGGGAGGGAAGACUACAGAAAUCUAUCAUUCUGACUAAAAUUUCACAGAGCACUUUUCAAUUCUCACAGCAUUUUUGUUUAUCUUUCCCUGACCCCAACAAAUUUCUCCCUGGAAACUUCUGCAUGGCUCCUGCUGCAAUCUUCCUAGGGUCACUGAUGCCUGUCAUAGUGCUUGAACAGAGGGCUAGGCAGGAUUUUGAAUGCUGAACACACAAGGGAGAGCUUACAUGAGGAACAGUCUGUGGACAUGGUCUCAUUCAGAGUUGCGUGGUACACCUUGCAGGUUACAGUCUUCCUGUCGGUGCUGUGUGCUGUGAACCUGCUGAGCACGGUCACUGUCCCGUUGUCGUGGCUGUCUAUUUCAGUCGUGGAGCUGUUCUCUGGGACCCACAAGAUCUCAGCAGCCGGUCUCCCUGCCGCUGCCUCGCACACAGGGAUGCUGUGGUUGUCACAGUACAGGGACAGCCUUGGGGGCACUGCAAAGCAUCAGGAAGGGGAGACAUGUGGGUUGCUGCAGUUGGCAGAGGCUGUUCUUAUUCUUUACCCAAAAGGAACGUCGUGAGAAGAGGAGAGUCAGGUUGGAGGUGCCAUCCCGUCACAGCAAUGUGUGCCAAAGUGACAAGGACAGAUUUCUUUUUUUUUUUUUUCCUCAUUUUGGACACCUCUCCCACACUGAGGUGAGUUACCACAGCCAUGUACCAUUAGAGGAGGCAUCUCAGGAUGUGGAGGUGGGGAACUGCCCAGAAUACAGGGCUGAAUCAGACUUCUGUCCCGAUCAGCCUUCAUGCAUGUGUCUUAAAAUGGAUUUGAAUGCCAGGCUAGCAGGAAUUGGGGCUGUUCUUCCUGCCUGGGUAACAACAUCCAGUGUUUGAUCGAAUAGCUCAGUACUCGGAGGUGUUGCCCUCCUGUGUUUUUGUCAUAUUAAAGUAGCGUGUUAGUGAGUGACUACAGGAAAACAAGAUGCACGUGCAGACUCCUUCUGUAGUGUACUGGGGAUUGCUUCACACCCAUCACUUGUAACUCUGCGGGGGAGAAAGGGGCAGCAGAAGGGAGUUUUGGCAAAUGAGGAGAGGGAAGAAACAGAGCUACUAAAUGACUGCGUGACCAUUUGUGCCACUGAGAAAGCUCCUCUUCUCAGUGCACGCUUCUUCCUGUGCGGGAGGAGAGGAGCUUUGUCUGUCUGGGGCUGGAGGUGGUCCUUUGGAGAAGAGAGAAAUGAGGAAGGAGUCCCUUACCUAGCACGGUCAGCUGGUACAUCUGGUGGAAAUUCCCUUCCUGAUUUACCACUUCGCAGCUGUAAUUCCCUUCAUCAGCCAUUCCCACUUGCUGUAUCUCAAGGGCAUAAAACUGUUCUGGUUUGAACUCACUUUUCACGCUGUCACUGCAGUUUGUUCUGUGCACCAGGUUCUGAUCAGCCCUGAAUACCAAGGUGCAAGGGCCUCCUAUCUUGGGGCUUAUUUUCCACGUCACCAUAGUUGCUCCUGUUCUGUGAGGGCAGGUCAUCACAGCGCUGUGACCCGCUUGUGCUGCCGUUCUGUUUCCUGGAGGAGACAAAGAAGGAGAAGGAUGUGUGAAAAGGUGCCCAAGGAUGUCACUCACAGCCUUGGAGUUCUGGCCUGUGCUUUGGAGGGAAAUGUCAGCUCUGUUACACUCCAGAGUGAGGCCCUGUCUGUGCCAGCCCAAGGGCUGCAUGUCUCCUUUUUUAGACAGAAAGAAAUAGCCAAAUUCAUGGCUGUGUUUGCAAAAGUUGGUCCUUGGUUUUACUCUUUUCUUAUGCAGAGUUCUCCUCCCUAAAGCACUAGAUAAACAACAUGACUGGGAAGCAGAGUCCGGCUGAGCUGCAGAGCCCACCUGUACGGGAAGAUCUCUGGUUGCUUUUCUCUCUACAUCACUGCCCGAUACAGGAGAAAAAUGACUGAAGACGUUGACUCUACUUUUGUGCUGGCUAUGAGCAGCCCUCCUAAUAAGGUCAAGCACAAAUGACAAAUUUUGUCCUGUUCAUAUGAACCAAUUUCCCUGGUACUAGUGCCGUCAAAUGGAACAGUGGAAGAGUCAGUAUGACAUUUAACUGGAAAUAAAACACACGCCUGCUUUCUGUCGGAUGAAGAGAUCCCUAUUCGACUCAUGAUCUCUGCCCCAUAACCACCUGUCUUACCUGAUCCCAAUAAAAACAAACGUGAAUUUUCAUAGUUAAUGUAGGGUAGGGAGGAGAAAGGUUAUUGCUGUCUUUUCAGAUCCCAUUGUCUUUGGGUUUUAUAUUUUUAAAGUAUUUAGCAGAGUUUGUGAAGAAGAACAAACCUUCCCAUUAAAUCUUAAACUCUUGCAGGUUAUUGCUUCUGCAUCAGAAAAACCCCUUCAGCGCUUUCUAAAGAUUCCUUCCCCUAGACUUUUUCCCCCAAAGAAUUGAGAAAACAUGACUGUGAUGCAUUCCCCCUUAGCCCUUAAUAGCUGCUUGGUCCCAAGAUGCUGCCAGAACUACCUGUGGCUCCUGUGACUGCAGUGAUGGUGAGCAGGACGACGAUGUAAAUGGUCUUCCAGAUCUCUUCCAAGGCAGCUCUUGCGUGUCUGGAUGAUGCAGGUCUCCUGCACCAUCUUGCUUGCUGUGAGAUCCUCAUCAUCCCCUGCCAGUGAUCCUCAGCAGUCAGAGCCACCGCUCUUCCUAGGCUCCUGGAGGUUCCUUACUGCAGCUACAAAUAGCACAGAGCACUUCUUCAUAGCACAGAGCUUCUUCCUGUGCUGAGAAUUGGUGAACGCAGAGGAAAUGGUAUCAAUGUGUGCUUUCUGUACACUUCUCACAGUACCACUAUGCAAGAAAACCUAUGGCAGAACUUGCACAAAGUAUAAGCCGAGUGAUUUUCAUGCCUGGUUCUGAUCUGACAGUGAGGAUUUUAUCCAAGAGGAAAAAAAAAAUAAAAAGCUACCUAACAGCUUAAGAUCUUUCCUCUAGGAGAUACUGGCAAUCCCUCCUUCCCUCCAGGCAGGGAAUGUAGGUGGGUAGAAUCUUUCUGUGUGAUAACACUGCUGUCUUCUACCAGCUAAGGUACCUUCUCUGGAUAGAAGAUGAACUUCCCAGGAAAUUAAUGCACUAAACUGAAUUUAAUCAGAACAGCGUUAGCCUCCCCAGACUGUGAAGCCACGAGGCUGAUGUAAGGUGGUGCCUGUUUGCUUGUUCUAGGAGACAAAACUCUUUCCCCACAGCAACAGGCACAGCUGGUUUAUGCAUUUCCAGUGGCUGUGCUGAAAUGUGCCCACCUGGAAGGGUUUCCGUUCCCUGGCCAAAUGGUUGCAAGGCCUCACUGAUCCAGAGAAUCACUGGAGGAAGGCAAACAUCCUGGCCCCCCUCCAGGUAGUAGGUACAGGUUAACCAAGAAGAGGCAGAGCACCUGUUGGGAACACAAAGGUAAAGCUGGGUGAGAUCAAAAAGGAAAUUAGGCAUCCUGUGAUUGCAGCAUUCUUAUAUUGAGAGAAGCCAGCAGCAGUGACAUAAUGAAAUCCUCGUCUCUGCCGGCUGCUGUCGCUGCAGUUUUCUUUCUGAAACUCACUUUGACGAUUUCAGCUAUGUUGGUCAGUGCAGCUUCAGCUGUGUGGUUUGGAGCUUAUGUGCAACAAAAGCUUCUCACAUUUAGAGGUGGGUCCGAGACGCAAGGGUCACAUUUGUCUCUCUGAGACAGAGAUCCCUGCAGCACGGGAGGUACUGUAGCUUCAGCCACAUCCAUCAGGGUGACAUAGCUCAGCACUAGAUGGUGGAGGCAGCAAGAAGCAGGUGGGAAGGUUGUGUAUUAGCAAUCUGGCUGAGAUCAGGUGGGGGUGUCAGGUGUUUUUGUAUUUCUGGAAGCCCAAACUCUGU